AGGUCUGUCUUCGGCUGUUGUAGCAGGGAUUGUUGUUGUUGUUCUGCUGGUAAUAGCUGCAGCUGCUGGUGUUUUAUUUUAUUGGCGCAGGACCUCUGAACUAAAACAUCUAAAGUCAAAGAUCUCUGAACGCCAAAAUGAAACAUUGGAGAUCUCUGACAAACUAAAGCGAAUGUGUAAGUAUUAAAGCUGAAAGACAUGCGUUACGGAUGUGAUGUUUUUGGAUGACAUUAUAUUUUGUAGACAUUCUGAGCAUCACAAUUCACAAACCAGAAGCAGCAAUAUCCACUGAAUGGAGAAGGUUUGGCUCUGCAGAGAACGAUGAAUAUCUAUUUUAUUUCAGCUUUCAUUUCUGCAUUUCAGCCACAUUUUUCCAAGCAAGCCUUUUACAAUUUAAA